rnacentral:rRNA from 1 species
ACGGGGUCUAAUACCGGAUACCACUCCUGCCUGCAUGGGCGGGGGUUGAAAGCUCCGGCGGUGAAGGAUGAGCCCGCGGCCUAUCAGCUUGUUGGUGGGGUAAUGGCCCACCAAGGCGACGACGGGUAGCCGGCCUGAGAGGGCGACCGGCCACACUGGGACUGAGACACGGCCCAGACUCCUACGGGAGGCAGCAGUGGGGAAUAUUGCACAAUGGGCGAAAGCCUGAUGCAGCGACGCCGCGUGAGGGAUGACGGCCUUCGGGUUGUAAACCUCUUUCAGCAGGGAAGAAGCGAAAGUGACGGUACCUGCAGAAGAAGCGCCGGCUAACUACGUGCCAGCAGCCGCGGUAAUACGUAGGGCGCAAGCGUUGUCCGGAAUUAUUGGGCGUAAAGAGCUCGUAGGCGGCUUGUCACGUCGGAUGUGAAAGCCCGAGGCUUAACCUCGGGUCUGCAUUCGAUACGGGCUAGCUAGAGUGUGGUAGGGGAGAUCGGAAUUCCUGGUGUAGCGGUGAAAUGCGCAGAUAUCAGGAGGAACACCGGUGGCGAAGGCGGAUCUCUGGGCCAUUACUGACGCUGAGGAGCGAAAGCGUGGGGAGCGAACAGGAUUAGAUACCCUGGUAGUCCACGCCGUAAACGUUGGGAACUAGGUGUUGGCGACAUUCCACGUCGUCGGUGCCGCAGCUAACGCAUUAAGUUCCCCGCCUGG